rnacentral:rRNA from 1 species
AGUGAACGCUGGCGGUAGGCCUAACACAUGCAAGUCGAACGGCAGCACAGUAAGAGCUUGCUCUUACGGGUGGCGAGUGGCGGACGGGUGAGGAAUACAUCGGAAUCUACUUUUUCGUGGGGGAUAACGUAGGGAAACUUACGCUAAUACCGCAUACGACCUACGGGUGAAAGCAGUGGAUCUUCGGACCUUGCGCGAUUGAAUGAGCCGAUGUCGGAUUAGCUAGUUGGCGGGGUAAAGGCCCACCAAGGCGACGAUCCGUAGCUGGUCUGAGAGGAUGAUCAGCCACACUGGAACUGAGACACGGUCCAGACUCCUACGGGAGGCAGCGGUGGGGAAUAUUGGACAAUGGGCGCAAGCCUGCUCCAGCCAUACCGCGGGGGUGAAGAAGGCCUUCGGGUUGUAAAGCCCUUUUGUUGGGAAAGAAAAGCAGCAGGUUAAUACCCCGCUGUUCUGACGGUACCAAAAGAAUAAGCACCGGCUAACUUCGU